GGUAUUGAGAAGACCACUGGAAUUCUAUGGAACAUAACUGGUGGAAGUGAUAUGACCUUGUUUGAGGACAUACAAGCUAAUGAACGUGUGAAUUUGAACCAAUUCAAUCAGCCAUUUUUGUGGAAUCAGUUCAUUGAUUCAACACAUACAUAUUUUGACAAGGUUGAGGUGGUGUAACUUUGAACCAGUCUGCCAUCUCAUGUACUUAAUGCAGCAAUGUUGUAUUGGCCAAUGCCUAAUGCAUUGUAUAUUGAAGGUUAUGCUCGAGGUAUCAAAUUUCAUCUUGUUUUAACAAGAAUAAUGAAAUGAAAUGUUAACCAUCCUAUAUUUUCAGCCAAUAUUCCUUGUUAGACAUAUCUUUUGUGAAUUUGGACUUUCAUAAAAAUUAUUUUACAUCAAACAAUUGUGACAUAUCUGAUGUGUACCUUUCUAGGGAAAAUCAGGUAAAUUGUUUGUGAUUGUGGUUGACUGAAAAAUAUUGAGUUGUGUUACAUGUGAGGUACUGAAUGCAUUAUAGGGAUUGCUUUGGAAUUUCUUUGGUUGAUUUAUAUGCUAAAUGGAGAUAAUGUAUGAGUGCACUGCUAUUGUAUUGCUGUCCAGUUUUUAGGCUUGGUAU